GACGAACGCUGGCGGCGUGCUUAACACAUGCCAGUCGAACGCUGAAGCUUGGUGCUUGCCCUGGGUGGAUGAGUGGCGAACGGGUGAGUAAUACGUGAGUAACCUGCCCUUGACUCUGGGAUAAGCCUGGGAAACUGGGUCUAAUACUGGAUACGACAUGUCACCGCAUGGUGGUGUGUGGAAAGGGUUUUACUGGUUUUGGAUGGGCCCACGGCCUAUCAGCUUGUUGGUGGGGUAAUGGCUCACCAAGGCGACGACGGGUAGCCGGCCUGAGAGGGUGACCGGCCACACUGGGACUGAGACACGGCCCAGACUCCUACGGGAGGCAGCAGUGGGGAAUAUUGCACAAUGGGCGGAAGCCUGAUGCAGCGACGCCGCGUGAGGGAUGACGGCCUUCGGGUUGUAAACCUCUUUCAGCACGGAAGAAGCGAAAGUGACGGUACGUGCAGAAGAAGCGCCGGCUAACUACGUG
rnacentral:rRNA from 1 species